GUUGUUGUGGCGCGUGCUCUUCUUGGCUUAGUUGCUGUUGCUGACUGCCUUCACUUGUUGCACACGCCCGCUGCGGACACUGGCAGCAGGCAAUAGACGAAGGAGAUGUCUGCUUCAGGGCAAGAUAAAUCUGAACAACAGCGGAUAUGUGGCAUAAGGAUGGAGAUAAGGAAGAUGCAACAUUGUAAAUCACCUACGGGAGGUUCAUAUUGCUCGGAAGUUUUAGCACCUUUGGAUUUACCCAUUCUCAAUAUCCACUGACUUCCUGAUGCUAAAUUGCAAUCUACAUUUCCAACAUAUUUCAUUUAUUCAAAUUAAACCUAAAAUUAACAUUUUCCAGCCACUUGAAACACUUGAAUAAAAACACAAUUUACCAUGCACGGCGACACCCGAAGGUCGAUCACACACAACAGCUCAAUAAAAAGAUCGUGCAAUCAGCGGAUAAAUCCAUAAGCUAAUUUGCGAGAAAGUAAGUCUAUCUAAAAAAAAGCAGGCAAA